AUGCAGUCGAGCGGUAGAGAGANCUUGCUUCUCUUGAGAGCGGCGGACGGGUGAGUAAUGCCUAGGAAUCUGCCUGGUAGUGGGGGAUAACGUUCGGAAACGAACGCUAAUACCGCAUACGUCCUACGGGAGAAAGCAGGGGACCUUCGGGCCUUGCGCUAUCAGAUGAGCCUAGGUCGGAUUAGCUAGUUGGUGAGGUAAUGGCUCACCAAGGCGACGAUCCGUAACUGGUCUGAGAGGAUGAUCAGUCACACUGGAACUGAGACACGGUCCAGACUCCUACGGGAGGCAGCAGUGGGGAAUAUUGGACAAUGGGCGAAAGCCUGAUCCAGCCAUGCCGCGUGUGUGAAGAAGGUCUUCGGAUUGUAAAGCACUUUAAGUUGGGAGGAAGGGCAGUUACCUAAUACGUGAUUGUUUUGACGUUACCGACAGAAUAAGCACCGGCUAACUCUGUGCCAGCAGCCGCGGUAAUACAGAGGGUGCAAGCGUUAAUCGGAAUUACUGGGCGUAAAGCGCGCGUAGGUGGUUUGUUAAGUUGGAUGUGAAAUCCCCGGGCUCAACCUGGGAACUGCAUUCAAAACUGACUGACUAGAGUAUGGUAGAGGGUGGUGGAAUUUCCUGUGUAGCGGUGAAAUGCGUAGAUAUAGGAAGGAACACCAGUGGCGAAGGCGACCACCUGGACUAAUACUGACACUGAGGUGCGAAA
rnacentral:rRNA from 1 species